AUUGAACGCUGGCGGCAUGCUUUACACAUGCAAGUCGAACGGCAGCGGGGAGGAGCUUGCUUCUCUGCCGGCGAGUGGCGGACGGGUGAGUCAUACAUCGGAACGUGUCGAGAAGAGGGGGAUAACCACCCGAAAGGGUGGCUAAUACCGCAUAAAUUCUGAGGCAGAAAGCUGGGGACCUAGGAAUAGGCCUAGCGCUUUUUGAGCGGCCGAUGUCGGAUUAGCUAGUUGGUGAGGUAAAGGCUCACCAAGGCGAAGAUCUGUAGCGGGUCUGAGAGGAUGAUCCGCCACACUGGGACUGAGACACGGCCAAGACUCCUACGGGAGGCAGCAGUGGGGAAUUUUGGACAAUGGGGGCAAACCUGAUACAGCCAUGCCGCGUGUAUGAAGAAGGCCUUAGGGUUGUAAAGUACUUUUGUUAGGGAAGAAAAGUCAGCUGUGAAUAAUGGCUGAUACUGACGGUACCUAAAGAAUAAGCACCGGCUAACUACGUG
rnacentral:rRNA from 1 species